rnacentral:rRNA from 1 species
AUUGAACGCUGGCGGCAGGCCUAACACAUGCAAGUCGAACGAGUGGCGGACGGGUGAGUAAUGUAUGGGAAACUGCCUGAUGGAGGGGGAUGACUACUAGAAACGGUAGCAAAUACUGCUUACCAUCAGAUAUGCCCAGAUGGAAUUAGCUAGUUGGGGGGGUAACGGCUCACCAAGGCGACGAUCCCUAGCUGGUCUGAGAGGAUGACCAGCCACACUGGGACUGAGACACUGUCCAGACUCCUACGGGAGGCAGCAGUGGGGAAUAUUGCACAAUGGGCGCAAGCCUGAUGCAGCCAUGCCGCGUGUAUGAAGAAGGCCUUCGGGUUGUAAAGCACUGUCAGCGGGGAGGCGUUACCCGCAGAAGAAGCACCGGCUAACUCCGUGCCAGCAGCCGCGGUAAUUC